AAACACAUGCAGUGAUACUUGCUAUUCGGGGCAACUCGAUUGGCAGGCCCGCAUCAGUUUUUCGGGGCGGAAAAUCGUAGAGAGAAGGUAGCAGUUUCGGCUGUGUUAUAGCUCUUUACUGGAUUCGCCCUGGGGGACUGAGGAACGCAGCGUGCUUUUAGCAUGAGCUUCGGCUUAUCCACGCUUAGGAUGCGGGUUUAUGGCUGUAUAUGA
rnacentral:rRNA from 1 species